rnacentral:rRNA from 1 species
UACGUAGGGGGCAAGCGUUGUCCGGAUUUAUUGGGCGUAAAGAGCGUGUAGGCGGCCUGAAAGGUCAGCUGUGAAAACUCGAGGCUCAACCUCGAGACGUCGGUUGAAACCAUCUGGCUAGAGUCCGGAAGAGGAGUGUGGAAUUCCCGGUGUAGCGGUGAAAUGCGCAGAUAUCGGGAAGAACACCCGUGGCGAAGGCGGCGCUCUGGGACGGUACUGACGCUGAGACGCGAAAGCGUGGGGAGCGAACAGG